ensembl:lncRNA
CCAAGGACGACACCCCCAAGGCCCCCAAAGAGGAUCCCUUUACCACACUGGCAAUAUCUAAAGAUGUCCCCUUUACUGCUGUAUCAACAUUCCCCAAAGAGGAUCCUUUCUCCACAUCAUCAAACCCUACAAAGGAGGACCCUUUUGUUGCACCAACAACACUCCGAAAAGAGGAUCCAUUCAAAGGGCCAUCCAGUCCACCUAAAGAUGAUGCGUCCGAUACCUUCAAUGCGCCUCAACUGAGCUCGCCUCAAGAUGCUGCAGAUGCAUGGGGAGCCCCUGCUUGCUCUCCACCCAGCGACGGGUCACAUACAUGGGGGGGUGCCGUCUGCUCAAGAGGAAACAAAGGGUGGAGACCCCUGGGGGGGAUGGGACAAGCACUUUCUCACCUGUUGAUAAUGCUGACGCAUUUGGAGAUACAUCCAAACUGGACAACGACCCAUGGGGGGGCUCCAGCGGCAGCUCCGGUCAGCACAGAUGAUGCAUGGGGUUCACCUGCUCCCACCGUGGCCUCCUCCCCGUCAAGUAGUCCGUUUGGCGACGGAGCGUCUAAAAAAGGUGAUCCUUGGGGUGCGCCAAGUAGCGCACCUAGCAACGGGGAAGAAAAUACCUUUUAGAGUAGAAUUGGACCUGUAUUGUAUUGCAGGAGAGCGACCGGCGCAGAAGGAGAAGGCGUAUAGAAAGACUGCUUCGUUUCUGGGCUCUGCGGCGGCGCUUGUUGACUUGGACAAUCUAUUUUCUUUGAAUCCCAAACCCAUGCGGCGACCAGUCGCCAGCACGCUCCUCGCCCAGACACAAGCCGUCGGCGCUCUCAAAACCAGAGGCAUGACAUAUGGCCCUGUGCCCGUUGCACGUAUUUCCCUUCAUGAAACCUCAAGCCCGCCCCGCGGCCCAUUUGGUUCCACCCUUGCUCCCUUUUUCGAUGCACCUUCUGACAAUUUUGGAGCUGCUAAUCCUUCCAGUGAAACUCCCUUAUUUCAGCUACCGUCCCAUACCACAGGAGUUUCAAACUCGGUCUUAAACACGCUGCAGGGGGCUCCCCCCACGUUCUGCAACUGGAAUGGUACAAUCCGUGUCUAUGGGAAGGAAGCCACAAACGGGACUCAACGUGGACCCCUCCUCUGGAGGACUGAGAAUGGUGCAGUCGGGCUCUCUAGUGGGGAAUCCCUUCACAGACCCCCUCUUAAUGGGAACAGAAAUGGGUCAGUCCAGUUUCUUUGGUGGGAAUUGCCAAGCAGGGGUCUCUCACUUGGGAGAAUCCACUCAACGGGCCGGGGGGGAGAGGCCCCCUCAACCCACAGUUGCUCUCAGGCAACGGGUCGGCUGACACAGUGAAGAAAAACAAAAAUCCCUUCCUUUUCUGACAGCUGGAAGUGGAACAUUCCCUACUAGAUAAAUACGAUAUAUCGAAUGACCGCACUUGGUGGUUUUACAUGUUUCUCUAACCUAAAUGUAUGUUUCGCUACCAUUUUUUCCAAUUACAGACCACAGAUAAUGUCUUAAUAUUUUUUACGCCUUAAAAGUAUAACCAAAUGGAAUUUCACUUUCACUUUUUUUUGAAGAAGCAACAUUUGGCUAAAACAUGCAAAACCACUUGUAUGAUCCCUCAAUUCGCACACGUUAACAUACCACGUGGCAUACCUUUAACAGAAUACACAAAACGUGUGUGAAAUGGUGUUUGAAUCCGAUCUAUUAGUUCGGCCAUCCUCCUUUUACCCGUGGCACAAGUCUGGGAAGCGGGGAGCAUCUUAACUGUGAGUCUCCGUGGAAAUACUGAAGAGUUUCUGUAGAUGUGAGUGUGGACCUGUGAGACAUGGGCAGGACUGGAGGUGUGUGUGGUUGUGUGGGUGUGUGUUCAGUAUAAAUUGUGCUGAUGUAAAUAGUGGAAGUAAUCACCGAUGAACCUUGAAAUAUACUGUAUAUUAGUGUUAAAUUCCUCAGUAACUAUUUAUUGAUAAUUUAUCGAUACAUCAACGGCUUCCAACAAAGACAAGUUCAGGUCAACUUUUGUCCCAGUGUCGUCAAACAGACGGCUCGACCGGAUGGUAUUGAUCAAUGUGUGGUUUUGUGAUUGGCUCCAACCUGAUCACGGCGUUAUCAAUCAAGUCACUAACCCAACGGUGGCUUUUUUUUUCUUCCUGGUUUGAUUCAUAGUCGUUGUUGAUUUAUUGUGUAACUGAACGCGUCCCCGUUGUGUCUCCCCAAACGGAAAGAAGAAACUGAACUGUGUCGUUGUGUGAUGUUUUUGCUGCAGCUUUGGCUGAAUAAAGUCUGAAUUUGAACAAAGCAACGU